AUUGAACGCUGGCGGCAGGCAUACCACAUGCAAGUCUAGCGAGCGGCGGACGGGUGAGUAAUGUCUGGGAAACUGCCUGAUGGAGGGGGAUAACUACUGGCAACGGUAGCUACUACAGCAUACCAACAGAUGUGCCCAGAUGGGAUUCGCUAGUAGGUGGGGUAAAGGCUCACCUAGGCGAAGAUCCCUAGCUGGUCUGAGCUGAUGACCAGCCACACGGGAACUGAGACACUGUUCAGACGCGUACGGGAGGCAGCAGUGGGGAAUAUUGCACAAUGGGCGCAAGCCUGAUGCAGCCAUUCCGCGUGUAUGAAGAAGGCCUUCGGGUUGUAAAGCACUUUCAUCGAGGAGACGUUACUCGCAGAAGAAGCACCGGCUAACUCCGAGCCAGCAGCCGCGGUAAUUC
rnacentral:rRNA from 1 species